UAUGCAUUUAUUAGUGAACCAGGUCCAUUUUUUGAGACCACGUGGUCACGGUUCCAUACCCCGCAAGUUGUAUUUGUGCAAGCGCAAUUAGCACCUUUAAAUGUUCGCCUUAGAGAAAUAAUUCCGCUCGAUAGGUCUCCGCGGGGUCACUGAAAAUAAAAUUUGCAGACAUUUUUCCACACAAUGCGAAAUUUCUGCCCACAACAUAUAUGAAUGACCGUUUACAAGAUUAUUUGGCCCGUUUCAAAAUAAACGUAAUUGCGACCGAUGCUUCUUCGUGUGAAGAGAAGGCAGGUGUGGGUAUCUACUCACCAUCCCUCAAUUGGUCCUUUUCACUUCGCCUACCAGAUUACACAUCAGUUUUUCAUGCCGAACUUCUGGCUAUAGUUCUUGCCUUGCGGAAAUUACCCAUUCAUAUUACAAGAGUUAUUAUCGUCACAGAUUCUCUGUCUGUAUGCAGCGCACUUACUGCGUCUACAAAGUCGCCAACCGGAAACACGUUUUAUUCAUUAGCUCCACCUCACUUAAGUUUAGUGCAUAUAGUAUGGGUCCCUGGCCACCGAGACAUUGAUAUAAAUGAAAAAGCCGAUUCCUUAGCAAGAGCUUCUUUAGCAGGUCCUGUGCUAUUUGUGCUGCCGGCAACUGCGCACAUUACUGCAGCCAGAUAUCGCAGAUUUUCUUUGAGCGAGGACGAAAAAGCUCUGUCAUUAGCAAAAUCUUCAGAUUUUUUACAAUUAAAUUAUUCUUGGAACCGGCAAUGGUGUCCUAACCGGAAAUUUGAAGUUUCAUUAACUAGGCUGCGUUGCCGCAUUCCAUCACUUAAUUUUUACUUGCACAGAUGUGGUCUGGCGGUAUCCCCUCUAUGCUACCUCUGUGUCAGGAGUGACAAGCGUAAACGAAGAAAGAGGACGAGGAAGAAGGAGUGGAGCGGGCACGUGGAGCCGCCAUCUUGGAGAAGGGGCGCGCGCAGGGAAGGACGUGGUGGCCGGGCGCAGCGUUCCAGGAGAAGACGGCCGGAGAUCGCCUCUCUGGGUUCUGCCCCAGGUCCUAGGGGGACACAUCGACGUCCCGCCCGAGUACCAGGCUCGGCGAGCAGAUGUCCGACGUCCCCGGAACUACCGCUGGCCCGGACCUACCUGCCAGGGCACGUCAGCGUUUGUGCCGCUGAACGUAGACGCACGGAGGCUGACUACAGCCAGUCACCAUCCCAUCCAGAGAACUAAGCUGGGCCGGCGCGCACCGGGAGCGCCAGCCGGCACGAGCCGCGCUCUGCCGGAGCGCGACAGCUCCUCAGCGACCGUGCUUUCGUCACGUCGGCCGGGGCAUCGGUGACGCCGGUCACCAACACCGACUAAGGACUACCAGAUUACAAAGAUGGACCACAGACCGGGGGACGCCGAUACCCGCGUCGAACAGAACCGGUUAUCGUCGGCCCGCCGACUAUCUCCCAGUGUCUAUCCUUUGGACACGGCCGCUACCUGUGGACGGCGCUGUUGCUGGGGGCCGCCGUUCUCAAGACUGUGGCCCGCAGGGACCUGGCACAUUUUGUUAUGCGCAGCCGAUGUCCCCUGAAGCUGCGGCUCGUCAACGAACUCCACAACACGGCGUAUUGUUUAGUAGGAGUGUUUGCCAUUUGUGGUCUACCGGUUAUGGAUGCCCACAACCAUGAGCGGUGGCACGGACUCCUGCUAACGGUAUACGUCUUGGGCGCCACGAGAGACGCCAUCUGCAAAAUGAAGAUACUGCAGAUGGUGUCAUCACCCCAGAGCGUCGCGAAGGCAGCCGCUUUCAUGAGGUUGUCCACGAGACUCGCAGCCUAUUUUCUUUUCACCGCCGGUAUAUGUAAGGAGAUGCUGUCCAGGUACGGCCGUUUCUGGGCUGAGUACGAGCUGUGGGUAGUGAUAGGCUACCGUCGGCCCGCCGACUAUCUCCCAGUGUCUAUCCUUUGGACACGGCCGCUACCUGUGGACGGCGCUGUUGCUGGGGGCCGCCGUUCUCAAGACUGUGGCCCGCAGGGACCUGGCACAUUUUGUUAUGCGCAGCCGAUGUCCCCUGAAGCUGCGGCUGGUCAACGAACUCCACAACACGGCGUAUUGUUUAGUAGGAGUGUUUGCCAUUUGUGGUCUACCGGUUAUGGAUGCCCACAACCAUGAGCGGUGGCACGGACUCCUGCUAACGGUAUACGUCUUGGGCGCCACGAGAGACGCCAUCUGCAAAAUGAAGAUACUGCAGAUGGUGUCAUCACCGAGCGUCGCGAAGGCAGCCGCUUUCAUGAGGUUCUCCACGAGACUCGCAGCCUAUUUUGUUUUCACCGCCGGUAUAUGUAAGGAGAUGCUGUCCAGGUACGGCCGUUUCUCGGCUGAGUACGAGCUGUGGGUAGUGAUAGGCCACAAGUCCUUCGUCUACGCGGAGAUAUCGAUGGCUAGCCUCCAUUCUCUGGGAGAAAUGCUUCUAAUGUUCGUCAUCAAUUUCUAAGUGCUCGUGCUGACUACCGCUACCAGUUUGUGUAAAGGCCGAGUUUUUUUUUCACUCUUAAAUGUAGAAGAUAUAAUUUGAAAGUAUAAUAAAUAUAGCUUCAGAAAAACACC